AGUAAAUUGGUUAAGUUAGAAAGGGCGCACGGUGGAUGCCUUGGCACUAGGAGCCGAAGAAGGACGGGACUAACACCGAUAUGCUUUGGGGAGCUGUACGUAAGCGUUGAUCCAGAGAUUUCCGAAUGGGGGAACCCACUAUCUUUAGUCGGAUAGUAUCCUUACGUGAAUACAUAGCGUGAGGAAGGCAGACCCAGGGAACUGAAACAUCUAAGUACCUGGAGGAAGAGAAAGAAAAAUCGAUUUCCUGAGUAGCGGCGAGCGAAACGGAAAGAGCCCAAACCAAGAAGCUUGCUUCUUGGGGUUGUAGGACACUCUAUACGGAGUUACAAAAGAAAGUUAUAAAUGAAGCGGUCUGGAAAGGCCUGCCAAAGACGGUAACAGCCCGGUAGUUGAAAUGGCUUUCCCUCCAGAGUGGAUCCUGAGUACGGCGGAACACGUGAAAUUCCGUCGGAAUCCGGGAGGACCAUCUCCCAAGGCUAAAUACUCCCUAGUGACCGAUAGUGAACCAGUACCGUGAGGGAAAGGUGAAAAGCACCCCGGAAGGGGAGUGAAACAGUUCCUGAAACCGUGU
rnacentral:rRNA from 1 species